UACAGAGGGUGCGAGCGUUACUCGGAAUUACUGGGCGUAAAGCGCACGUAGGCGGCUUGGUAUGUCGGGUGUGAAAUCCCCGGGCUCAACCUGGGAACUGCAUCCGAAACUGCCUUGCUAGAGUAUGGGAGAGGGAAGUGGAAUUUCCGGUGUAGCGGUGAAAUGCGUAGAUAUCGGAAGGAACAUCAGUGGCGAAGGCGACUUCCUGGACCAAUACUGACGCUCAUGCACGAAAGCGUGGGGAGCAAACAGG
rnacentral:rRNA from 1 species